CACCUAUCAGCUAGCCCCUCCAACAACACCAAAAUCCUUUUAUUAAUACCCCUAAAUCAUACAACCCUUAAACAAACAAACCAUUUUUCACCUUAAGUAUAGGCGAUAGAAAAAGAUCUAGGAGCGAUAGAAAAAGUACCGCAAGGGAAUGCUGAAAGAGAAAUGAAAUAACCCAGUUAAGUCCAAAAAAG
rnacentral:rRNA from 1 species